rnacentral:sRNA from 1 species
AUGAAUCGCAGAAAAGAGAAACCAAAUGGAGUUAGGGUUUCGGGAUUUGAAGAAGGUCGGAUUUAUCGCCGUUCGGUAGAUAUAUAUUGGUAAUAUUAUAAUAUAAAGUUUUGGAGUAAUGCGACGACGAGAACGCAACACCCUAAUGGUAGUCUCUCUCUGCCUAGGCGACUUCGACUGGUUUGAAACGAAGAAGGGUGGGUGGCUGAUUGCUAAUAAUUAUCCUAAUAAUUCCAAUUCCAAACAUGGAAAUGCAUUUUUCUUUUUUCUAAUUCCACGGUUAUAAUAAUGAUUUGAAUUAUAGAUGUUUUUGCUACUAGACUCUCGGUGAAAAAUAUUUAUAUUUUUAAAAAAUAAAAUUAAUAAUAAAUGAAUGGGAAGAAAAAUGUAUUUUGAUAAAAAAAAAUAUUGUUGUUAAAAUAAAGUAUUUAACGUCAAGAGUAUUGUAAUUUAUUAAUAGUUUUUUUUUUUUUGAAAAUGGUAAUUAUAAUUUUAUAUAAAUAAAAGUUAUUAACAUCUAAAUUAUGGAUAAAAUAUAAGGUUUGAAGUUAUCUAUUAUUCUUUGAUCAUUCUAAUUUAUCUUUUAAUCACAUUUUUCAAAACUUAAUUUGUAAUCAAUUUUGACUAAAAAGUUUCUAUCAAAAAAAAAAAAUUUUUUUUGCUAAAAAGUAGAGAUAGUUGUGGAAAUAAUUUAAUAUGAACACACAAAAAAAAUACAAAUUAUAAGAUUGAGAUUAUUACUUAUAAAGUAUCUUUUUUAAAAUUGAGAUUAUUACUUAUAAAGCAUCUUUUUUAUAAAAAAUAAAAAAAAAAAUAAAAAAAAAAGAUGCUUUAUAAGUAAUAAUCUCAAUCUUAUCAUCUAUAUAGUUUUUUUUUUUUUUAAAGGAAAGUAUGAAUUUUAUUGACUACAAAAUAUGAACUUUCCUGUUUUCAUUAAUAGUAAUGCUACAAGCAUAAUAUUUUUCACAACAAUUAUGUUGGUAAAUUGAUUGUGGUUUUCAUGAAUCUACUACAAAUAUCAUUUGUUUUUACUUAAUAAUUAAUAAGUCACAUGAUAAAAAUAUAUUAAUAAUUAAAGAUGUUUAAAUUUUAUUAUAUUAAAAAAUAAAAUUAUGAAAUAUAAUUCAAUAAAAUUAAAUUUAUUUUAAUUUACUUGAAACUUUUGUCAGUAUAAUUUUAAAUUUAUUGAAAUGUUGUAAUAGAGUUUUAUGUAUAUGAGUUGAAAGUUUUAGCAAUAGAGUUUUAAAUUUCUUUGAAUUUAUGAUAUGUUUGUUUCGCUGGAAAACCUUCUAUAAAUAUAGUUUUCCACAUUUUUAUGUGUUUGGUAGUGCACAAAAAAAAAAAAAAGUUAAUGAAAAACUAUCUUUGAUCAACGAAAAACCCUAAUAAAAAUAAGGCUUAUUUUCUAUAGGUUGUUUUCCAAAAAUAAAAAUUGAAAAACAACCUCUCUCUCACGUGUUACAUCUUCUAUAAAUAUUAUCUUUGUCUGUAGCUGUGGGAAACAUAAUGUUUUGAUGCCUUCUUUCUCUCAUGGUAAGUUUUCUCACUUUUUCUCUCUUCCCUUUGUUUUUUCUCUCCUCACACUCUCACUGUCACUAAUUCUGAUCUCUUUUCUUCCCAUAGAUCUCUCUCUCUCUCUCUCUAACUGUCUCUCUUCUCUCUUUUCUCCAUGUUUCUCUUCCUCUUUGUAACACAACUCUUUGAUUAGAUUUUUUUUUUUCCCUCACUGAUCGGUCAAUAGCUCCAACUUACAAAGGAGAACAAAUUUGCAGUGAUAAUUAUUUCAUUCCUCUCUACCAAAUCCCAAUUCUUAGUUUUGAAUUUCAAGCUUGAUUUUCUUUUUUCUCUAAGAAAUUUUUGAUUUAAUGGAUUCCAGGCAGAAGUUACUUCUUUUUCGUACAUAAAGUGCAACAAAAAUAAAUAAAUAAAAUAAAAAAUAAAUAAAAUAAAUAAAAAGAAGAAGAAAGAAUGAAUGAAGUAAAAGAUGAAAAUUUUAAAUAUAGUACCUUUAUUGUUCUAAAUUGCUUUUACAUGGGACAAUCUUUACCAUGGACUAAUAAUAUUGUUAUAUAAUAAAUGAUAAUUGUUUAGGAGAAUUGCAUUUGUUGGCAGAUACUUUAUGCAAAUACUAUGCAAUUAUGAUAUAUUAUGCGAUACAUUAUGUAAAUACAUAAUUGUACGGCCCCCGCGUCAUAUCCUACAUUGGGCCUUGGGCCCUGGCCUGGGUAUAUGGCCCAUGAGGCCAAUCCCUUUAUACCCGGCAGCCCACCCCCGGGCCACGCGUACGGCAAACCCAUGUCUUCUCUCUCUCAUGGUAAGUUUUCUCACUUUUUCUCUCUUCCCUUUGUUUUUUCUCUCCUUACACUCUCAUUGUCACCAAUUAUGAUCUCUCUUCUUCCCAUAGAUCUCUCUCUCUCUCUCUCUCUCUAACUGUCUCUCUUCUCUCUUUUCUCCAUGUUUCUCUUCCUCUUUGUAACACAACUCUUUGAUUAGAUUUUUUUUUCCCUCACUGAUCGGUCAAUAGCUCCAACUUGCAAAGGAGAACAAAUUUGCAGCGAUAAUUAUUUCAUUCCUCUCUACCAAAUCCCAAUUCUUAGUUUUGAAUUUCAAGCUUGAUUUUCUUUUUUCUCUAAGAAAUUUUUGAUUUAAUGAAUUCUAGGUAGAAGUUUCUUCUUUUUCGUACAUAAAGUGCAACAAAAAUAAAAAUAAAAAAUAAAAAAAGAAGAAGAAGAAUGAAUGAAUGAAGUAAAAGAUGAAAAUUUUAAAUAUAGUACCUUUAUUGUUCUAAAUUGCUUUUACAUGGGACAAUCUUUACCAUGGACUAAUAAUAUUGUUAUAUAAUAAAUGAUAAUUGUUUAGGAGAAUUGCAUUUGUUGGCAGAUACUUUAUGCGAAUACUAUGCAAUUAUGAUAUAUUAUGCGAUAUAUUAUGUAAAUACAUAAUAUAAAGUAAUAUUGAAAACUUGUGGUUGACCAUGGUAGACAAUUAGUAUACCAAAAAAAAGAGUAGAUAAUUAAAAAUUAUUGUUAUUUAUACUUAUUGAAAAUGUACUCUCCUGUCAAAUAUAUAUAUAUAUAUAGAGAGAGAGAGAGAGAGAGAUGGUUGAUAUAUGUGUGUGUGUGUGUACGUACAUACGUUAUAAGCAAGAUGAGUGAUAGAGAUCAUGAAAAUUUGACAACUAAUUAAUUUUGAUUGUAUCUAUAGUCAAAAUUUUAGUAUGAAAACCAAAUUCAUUAUGGGUUUUUUAUUUUAUACUGAUUACAUUAGUUGAUUUACAUAAUACACAUAUUUUAAAUUAAACAAGAAAUAUUUUUAAAAAAAUUGUAUACCAAAUACCAAAAAACAUUCUCAAGCUCAUUUUCAAGGUUGUUACCAAACAAUAAAAAAUGAGACAGUUUUCUAAAAAAUGGUUUUUGGAAAAUGAGCCAUUUUCCAGAAAACAUUAAUGUUGAAACAAACCAAGCGUUAAAUAAUAGAGUUUUAUAUAAAGUAAAUUAUAUGAGUCAUCUAUACUAUAUAUAAGAAGAUUCCCAUUUUUCAACUGGAUUUUUAUGUGUUUCAAAAUUACCCUCAUUAAUGAAGGGUAACUUCAUUUAGAAAUGGAGUCAUAAAUGUUAAAUAACAAAUUUUAUUUUGAAUUCAAAAAAAAAAUUCCUAAAAAAAAAUUCCCUUCACAUUUAAAAAAAAAAAAUUAUAGUUAUUGCUUAUCUUUAAUUUUUUUUUUUGAGGGACUCUUAUCUUUAAAGUUUAUCAUUUUUAUUUGUUUGAAAAAUAAAAAUAUAUAUUUCUAAAUUAUAAUAUAUGUAAAUUAUUAACCUUUGCCCAAAAAAAUAGAAGAGCUUUUGAGUAUGUGUGUGAGCAUGUGCUCAAAAGCUAGUACUAUCUAUAAGAAGAUUUUAUUUUAUUUUUUAAUUGGACUUUUAUGUAGUUCAUAAAUAUACUUAAACCUUAUGUUUAACCGGAAAGGAACUUGAGGACAACUUGGUAAAAAUAAAUCUCCAACGCUACUUAAAAUGCCUACAAAAUAAAAUAAUCUCCAACUAAUCCAUGCCUUCAAAACAAAUUUAUCCUUUUUUAAAAAAAAAAAAAAGAAGAAGAGAAAUUAUGACACUUAAAAAAAAAAAAAAAAAAAAAAAUGAAUGUAAUACAAUGCAAGUCCUAGAACAAAGAAAAACACAAAAAAGCAAAUAACAAUGGUCACAAAGGAAUAAGCAAUGAAGCACAAGGACCAUGUCAGAAAGACUCAAUUAGGUCAUAUAUGCACAUAUUUCUCAGUUGUUUUUUAGAUAACACAUAAAUACUCUUCUUUGCCCAAAGUAUGUAUAUAAAAAUACUGUAUAUACACAUAUUUCUCAGCUGUUUUUUAGAUAAUAGAAUUAAUGAGAUAUAAAUUUUGUAACAACCAUAUGAGUUAAUGGGUAUUAUAAGUUUCAUAAUUACAAAUUUAUUAUAUAUUUAUUUACUUUAUUAAAAUACACUAACAUACUAUCUACCUAUCUUAAAAAAAACAAAACAAAAAGAAACCGCAUCUGUAAAAAGCCAAGGGGUUUUACUUUAAACCUUAAAGUUUUUACUAGCCCAUUAAAGAAUUUCAUUUACAUUUCGCUCUAACCAUUAAUCCAUGAAUUAUAGCAGCAGUUUUUUUUUUUUUUUUUAGAAUAUUAAGUAUUUUAACAUAUAUACACAGGAGAUCGAGAGAAGGCCUUAAAAAAUUUGAUAGUGAUGUAUAUCCAAAAAGAGUCUAACUCUUUGAUACAUAGCAAAAGUUUUAAACCUCUUUAACUCACGCUUAUUUUCCAAUGUAAAAUUAAUUCACUGCCUUUUAUUUUAAGAAUAUUAAGGCUAUAUUUGGUAAUUGUUUUUUUUCCUUAGUUUUCUGUUUCCUAAGGCAAAAAGCUUGUUUGGUAACUUAUUUUAGGCAAAAAUUAAAAACUAUUUUCAAUUUCCAUAUUGUGAAGGAAACUGAAAAUUGGUCUUGACCUGUUUCUAUUUUUCAGUUUUUACUCACCUUAGUGUUAAAAUACUAAAAAAGGUCUUGAGCUGUUUUUAUUUUAACAUACACACGGGGAGAAAAAUGUCUUAAAGAUACUGACAGUGAUUUUAGUUAACCUAAUUGGGAAGGUUUUUUUUUUUUUUCUAAAAUAUAAUUGUUAAGUUUUUAUUAUAAUUUUGGUUGGAUAAUUAAAAUUAAAUCUUUAUAGAGCAUACGUCAUAAGUUGAAAUUCUAUUGUAUUUAUCAACAACAAAAAAUGACAAAAUACUAUUUUAGUUCCUAAAUUUUACCAAAAAUUUAUUUUUCAUAACUAAACUUAAAAAAAGUUAUUUUUUUUUUAUCUUUAAAUUUUGUAAAGAGCUUUUUUUCUCUAAUAAUUUAGAAAAAAAAAAUAUGUGGAUGGAAAAUUUUCAAUAAUUUAGGAUUAAAAAAACUUUUUAUAGUUGAAGGUUUGAGGAUGAAAACAAAUUUUUAUAAAAAUUUAGAUAGUACUUUAAUUUUUAACCCCAAAAAAGAAGGUUAAGAUAUUGGUAAUAAUUUUCUCAAAAAAGAAAAAAGAAAAAAAAGAUAUUGGUAAUAAUUUCAUUAGAACUUGGAGAGCAGGAAGCCCACAACACACGCAGCAUGAGCAAGACGGAGUUGACUUGACUUGAUUCAAAGUUGUCCACAAGGGAUCCUCUAUGACAACAAUGCGCACAACACCACAAAUCAUAUCAAAAUCCACCACGUGUACAUUUCAACACGUGGCUUUACGUCAUUGGUCACGUCCAUCCCUCCAACUGCCACGUAGACUUCCCCAAAAUUACUGAAAAAACAAUUUACCUACCCGUUAUAUUUCACACAACCCCCCACCCCACCGCUCCAAAAACAAAAACACAACCGAAAAAACAAAACAAAACAUAACAAAGAAAAGCAACUCUUCUCAUCAACCGUUCGAUAAGUCACCAUUUCAUUCACUCUCUCCAGAGAAUGCGAUCUACACCCCUCUGGUCUCUCUCUCUCUCCUAACUCGAAUUGAAAGUUAUAAACUCUCUUCGAUUCGAGCUUGAGCUUUUCACUUUCCACAAAAUCGAAAAUCAGAUUUAAUUUUUUUUUUUUUGUUGGUUCGACGUAAGUAAAACGUUGAAACUCGAAUUGAUAUUUAUACAUUCUAUUCGAUUCGAGCUUAGCUUUUUCUCACUUUCCAUUACUAUUAAAAAAAAAAAAAAAUUCAACACUCUUUUGCAUAAUUUUGUAACCAAACCGUUCGAUAUAAGUAAAACUUUGAAACUCGUGUUGAAAUUUAUAUGCUAAAUUCGAUUCGAUUCGAUUCGAGCUAAGUUUUGUGUUUUUAUUUUUGCUAUAUUUUUACAGAGGCUCUCGAACAAUCCAGAAUGGAAUCCAAGUUAUUCAUCAAGCUAGGUUUGGUUUUAUUUGCGCUUUGCUUUGUAUUCGAUCGAUCCGAAUCCGCGGUUUCGAGCAUAGAUCUCGGCUCCGAAUGGGGGAAAGUAGCGGUGGUGAAUCUGAAGCCCGGCCAGAGUCCGAUCUCGAUCGCGAUCAACGAGAUGUCGAAGCGGAAAUCGCCGGCGCUAGUCGCGUUCCACUCCGGCACUCGUCUCCUCGGCGAAGAGGCCGCCGGAAUCGUCGCGCGGUACCCGGAGAAAGUCUAUUCGCAAGUCCGUGACAUGCUCGGGAAGCCUUACGGUUACGUUAAGAAGGUUCUCGAUUCAAUGUACUUGCCAUUCGACAUUGUGGAGGACUCUCGGGGCGCUGUGAGUUUCAAAGUCGACGGCGGCGGCGACGACGGCGUCGCUGUUUAUUCGGUCGAGGAGUUACUGGCGAUGAUUUUGGGUUACGCGGCGGAUUUGGCCGAGUUUCAUUCGAAGGUGCCGGUGAAGGAUGCUGUGAUUGCUGUGCCGCCGUAUUUCGGGCAAGCCGAGCGGAGAGGGUUGAUUCAGGCGGCGCAGUUGGCCGGAAUUAAUGUGCUUUCGUUGAUAAAUGAGUAUUCCGGGGCGGCAUUGCAGUAUGGAAUCGAUAAGGAUUUCUCGAAUGAAUCAAGGCAUGUUAUCUUCUAUGAUAUGGGUUCGAGCAGUACCUAUGCUGCACUUGUGUAUUACUCGGCUUAUAAUGCUAAAGAGUUUGGGAAAACCGUGUCAGUCAACCAAUUUCAGGUGAGCUUCGAAACAUUGCUACUUUGGUUGGGUUUAGGAAUAGGGUAGAAAAUAUUUAUUGGGAAUUGCAAUUGUUUUAAGUUUUUCUUGCGAGGUUGUGAAUGAUUGGAAGCUGUAUAGAUUACAUUGUGAAUGAAUAAUUCAUUACCGUGCUUAGUUUAGUAGUUCCAUGAGAAUCCAUUUAUGGGUUUUUAAAAUUUUUUUGGAAGGUAUCCAUUUUUCCUAAAAAGUGUGGGAAGACUUUGUUAGUAAACCAAUUUCAGUUGAGCUUUGAUACAUUGCAACUUUUCGUAGGAGUUAGGAAUAGGAUAUAAAUAUUUGUUGCAAAUUGCAAUUGAUAAGCUUGACACUAAAUUCGUAUUCUUUUGAAGUUGUAUAUGAUUGAAAGUCAUCUAAGUUGAUAAAAGUAUGUACAAGAAGGAACUCCAAUUUGCGAUUCAUUUCUUAGCAAACGUUUUAUUAGUAAUUUAUUUCCUUGCAGUUGUUGAAUUUAUUGAGAAUCAAAAAAUAUUUUAAGUAUCCAUUUUUUCUAUAUAGACAAACACGUGGAGGUCAGGAUUUUGAUAUUUGUUCCCCAUUCAUGUUGCGGAUGGGUAACAAUACCAGAUUUGUUGGAAAGUUUCACAUUGAUGGCACAAACUCCUCACAUUGAUAGACUAUUUUAAUGAUUUUGAUUAUGUUGGCUACUCUGAUUUGAUGUGAAAUAGAUGUUAGUGUCAAUGAACUCUAGCUCAAAUGGCAUUGCCUCCCCCCAGAAGAAUGGCUGGAGGGAGAGGUUGCGAGUUCAAAACCCACUUGGUUUGUGUGUAAUUUACCAAUAAAAAAAAAAGAUGUCAAUUUCAACCAUUCUUUACUUCUUUAUACUUGAUAUUAUCAGCUUGUAGUCACUCUCUUCCUUAAAUAUAGGCAAUUUGUUGUGCCAAUUUUUAUUGAACUUUAUUAUGAAAUAGCUUGUACUUGUAGUUGUUAUAUUUUAACCCUUUUUAGCAUUUGUGUUUUGUUGCCUUUUGCUUUGUUCUCUAUGCUGUUUCUUGUUUUGUUUCUUACACUGGCAUAUUUUAGUGGUUUUAGCUUGCCAUUAAGCUCAAAAAUUUUGUGCAGGUUAAGGAAGUUAGAUGGGACCCCGAGCUUGGGGGUCAGAAUUUGGAAUUACGGCUGGUGGAGUACUUUGCAGAUGAGUUCAAUAAACAAGUUGGAAAUGGGGUUGAUGUGCGGAAGUCUGCCAAGGCGAUGGCUAAAUUGAAGAAACAGGUUAAGCGUACAAAAGAAAUUCUAAGUGCAAACACAGCGGCCCCAAUAUCAGUUGAAUCCCUCUAUGAUGAUCGGGACUUCAGGUAGGUGGAUAUUGAAGCACAUCAUCCAUUCCUAGUGAAAUAUUAUAACACACAUAAAUCUUUUUACCUAUCAAACAAAAAUUGUUAUAACUUAUUUUUUAUUUUUUGUUUAUGAGCUUUUAUUUACAUAAAGAAAAAGUGACGUUACUGUUGAACUAGUGAAGAGAGCUUGUUUAUCACUGUGAAUCCUUAUUCUUUGAUAUAGCAUUUUAAAGAGUCCAUUUUCACCAAAUAACCAGUGGAAUGAACUGAAAUUAACCAGGCCAUUUACAUACAAACCCUGGAUUCUCGUGAGACUUUUGAGCCUUUUUUAUUUUAUUUUCAAUGAGGCCAGAUUGCUCUGCUUUUAGAAACACUAUUGUUAGUAUCGACUAUGCAUGCUCUGUCAAUUGUUGAUUAACUGUAGGUUAUAACAUGAUUUAAUGGCUUCAAUCCUCAACAACAUGAAACCUAGUAUGUCACGUCACUUCUUUCUGCUAUGCAUGAAGCAGUGUUGUUAAAAGCGUUGAGCGCACUUAAGCGCAAAGGCCUCCUGGAGCCUAGGCGCGAAGCGCAAAGCGCAAGCGCGUGCCUGAUCGAUGUGAAGCGCAUAUUUAAAAAAAAAAUAAUAAUAAAUUAAUUUUUUUUUAUUAAUGAUCAAUACAACAAUCAAGUGGUUAAUUAAUCAUAUAAAUUACAAUAAAACAUUUUAUAUAAUUUAUAUAACAUUUACAUAAUUCUAUUGUGCUUUACAAAAUAAAUGCAACUAUGAUAUUUGAUGGCCAUGAUUACAAAACAUGGUUGAAUCAAAAUAGAAGUAUAGAACCAAGAAGGCAAAGGCUAAAAAGUACUAGAAUGUUAAGUGAUGAUAUCUUUGUGAGUGUCUGAUUUAGUGUUUGUUUGUGUGGUUGUGGUUAAAAGUUCAAAAAUAUCUAAAGAGAUAGGCUUAGGUGUAUGGUAGCACAUCACACUAUUAGUUUUUAUAUAUUAAAUCAAUAGCUUAUAUCAAACAUAUUUAGAUUUAAUAGCUAAAAAUCAAAUCAGGAUUUUUUUUUAAAAAAUUUACAAAAAGCUCAAAAAAGCGUGCUUUGCGCUUAAUAAAAAAGCUCAAAAAAGCGCGCUUAAAGCACGCUUUUGUGAGGGCGCUUCGCUUUAGAGGGAAAAAGCCCCAAGGGCUUUGCGCUUAAGCGCGCUUUUAACAACACUGGCAUGAAGCUUUGAUGACAUUGUUUUUUUUUCAUGAAUAUAAACUAUUUUGGUCACCGAAACAUGUGAAGGGUUGACUCAUAAAUAACCUAAUAGAAUGCUAGAUCCUCUUCCCUUUUCUUUUCUUUCUGCUUUUUAUUUUUAGUGUUAGCCGUUUUAAGUAUGAGGGAAGAGGCUUAAUCCAAGCAUUAGGGAAGCAUGCAAGAAAGCCCCAACUAAAAUGAAGAGAACCUAUCAAAAAAAAAAUAAUUAUAUUUUUCUAUAGACAACAGUUCACAUUAUAUUUCUAAACAUAAUUAUCUUGUCCCCUUUAUCUUACAAGUUAUGCAUACUGAUGGUUGGCCCUUAGGUAAUGAACUGAUCAAUUAUUAAUACUUAUAAUGAAUUUUCUCCCCUACCUCAGGAGCACCAUAACCCGUGAGAAGUUUGAAGAGCUCUGUCAAGAUCUGUGGGAGAAAUCUCUUAUACCUGUGAAAGAAGUGCUUCAGCAUUCUGGUUUGAAGUUGGAUGAGAUAUAUGCAGUGGAGUUGAUAGGAGGUAGUACCAGAGUCCCAAAGUUGCAGGUUUGUAAUGUCAUCUUCUUGAUGAAUUUGCUCUUGAGCGAGAAUCUUAUCUCAAAUUCAAGUAGUGAAACAUUAAUUGCAUGAGGCUAGUUGCAUAUUAUACUCAAUUAAAGAUGGGUUUCUGAGCUCAAUUCUAUGAGAGAAUUAUCUUGACUUUACUUGCUUAGUUUAAAAGUUUAUUUCUUGCCCUUGUGGCACUAUUAAAAGAUAUGCUCCACCUUUUUUUUAAAGAUACUCUCUGGAGGUAGUUUUUAAGAUUCAUUCUCCAUUUUUUACUUCUGCGUGUCAGUUAGAAUUUGUCUUCUAGACAUAUUUCUGAAUUAUAUGUGCAACAAUAAUAAACCUAUGACCAAUCCUUUGAAGCUCUGGCAAAAUUCUUAUUGGUUCCUCAGGGUCCAAUAUGAAUGAUUUGUGCAUGGUUGGCAGGUUUAAGUGUUUAUGAAAUUUUGGCAUAUAUGUAAAAAGUGCUGCAUAGAAUACUCAAUUUAUUUGUUUGUUUCAAUGAAGAGGUGAAUGCAAAAUGUGUAUUCAUCCUGUGCACACAUCAAAAGAAAAAUGCAUAACUCACAGCUUUGCACAAGAUUCAACUAGAUAUUAGUCAUAAAUAUGGUUUAACUACAUAUUAAUGUGCAUGCAAUUGCAUGUCAUUUUGUGCGGGCUUCAUGAUACGGGUUAAACUGUCAAUGUCAAGGUGCAUGGUAAUGUUUAGCAUGCCAAUGUGCAAUUUUUAUUUUAUUUUUAUUUUUAGUGUUACCUGUCACCAUUAUGAUUUGUUAUAUGUCGGUGUCUCAAUUACUUCAAAUUAAUUAACCAAUGAGUUAUGGUUCAAAUGACACUUCUUCCUUCCAUAAGAAUGGGUUGGAAUGUUAGGUUGUGGGUUCAAAACCCACCAGAUGUGUAUCGUACCAAUUAAAAAAAUAUAUUGAAAUUGAUUUAAUUUUAUUGUACAGUACUAGCUUUUGAAAUUUGUGUCUGAGCUUUCAUGGUUGACAGUCAAUGAAUCCGAAAAAAGAAAAAACUUAUUUUUCCCUAAUAACAGGCUAAGCUCCAGGAAUUUCUUGGAAGGAAAGAGCUGGACAAACAUCUGGAUGCUGAUGAAGCUAUAGUUCUUGGUGCAGCACUACAUGCUGCAAAUCUAAGUGAUGGAAUCAAAUUGAACCGUAAGCUGGGAAUGGUUGAUGGUUCUUCCUAUGGGCUUGUUUUUGAGUUAGACGGCCCUGAACUUUUGAAAGACGAGAGCACUAGGCAGUUACUUGUACAACGAAUGAAGAAACUUCCAAGCAAGGUAAACAACAAGGCAAUAUGAAUCUUUUUUUUUUUUUUUUCUCUGUAAGAGAAAGGUUGGUUGGAAAAAUACUUUGAAUGCAUUAGUCUUCCUCUCUAAUUCUACUAUUUAUGUUUGGGGUUUGCUUGUAUAACAGAUGUUCAGGUCCAUUAUCCAUAAGAAAGAUUUUGAAGUUUCACUUUCUUAUGAUAAAGAUCUUUUACCCCCUGGUGUUACCUCUCCCAUAUUUGCUCAGUAUGAUGUGUCUGGUUUAACAGAUGCGAGUGAAAAGUAAGAUCAGCAAAUUCCUAAAUCAUACAUGUGCAUUUUGCUUUGAUUCUUCAAGCAAUAGCAACCCUCUCUCCACACAGAAGUUUCAGACAAUUUCUAAUUUGGAUUUAUGUCAUGUUGUCUUUAUGUUUUUCAGGUAUUCAUCCCGGAACUUGUCGUCCCCAAUCAAGGCAAAUUUGCAUUUCUCUCUCAGUAGAAGUGGAAUUCUUUCUUUGGAUAGGGCAGAUGCAGUUAUCGAAAUAUCAGAAUGGGUAGAAGUUCCUAAAAAGAAUUUGACCCUGGAGAAUUCAACUACUGCUUCCCCCAACAUAUCAAUUGAAGCUGGUGCAAAUAGUGCAAAUAAUGCUUCAGAAGAAAUUAAUGACGACUUGCAUGUGGAUGGUGGGAUUAGUAACUCAUCUAACUCUAAUGUAGAAGAACAUAAUACCCCAGAUCUUGGUACAGAGAGAAAGCUGAAAAAGAAGACAUUUAAGGUUCCACUUAAGGUAAAAAAAAAAAAAGUGAAUUUUCUUAAGAUGUAUUAACAGUUGUCUAAAACGUUUUCUGAUAUUAAAUAUCCAUUUUCCACACUAUCCUUGCUUACUUCCCUCAUUUAUUAAUUAUAGAUUGUUGAGAAGACAUUGGGGCCUGGAAUGUCUCUUUCAAAAGAAUCGUUUGUUGAAGCUAAACGUAGAUUAGAAGCAUUGGACAAAAAGGAUGCAGAGCGAAGAAGAACUGCAGAGUUAAAAAAUAACUUGGAAGGAUAUAUUUAUGCUACUAAAGAAAAGGUUUGAAAUUUUUUACUAAUUCAACCAUUUAUUUCAUUUAACAUAUUAGAUUUUUUCCAUUUGCAUCACUCAUGAUGACUUUGAAGUUCAAAGUUUACUUUUAAUUCCUCCAUAUAAAGCCCUAUUAUGGUUUCAAUCUCUUUCCUUAUGUGUGUGUUUGGUUGGGGUGAAAAGGGAGAGGAUGGAAAUAGGGGGAAGAAAAAGAGGGAAGAGAAGAUUUUUUACAGUUUGGCUAGAAAGAAAAUGUUGGGGAUUGGGAUUUUCCAUCCACACCCACCAAUUUGGUUCCUUCCAAGUAGGGGAGAAAAUGACCGUAGGCAAUGAAAUUAUGAAAUUACACGCACACUAUCCCCAUCAUUUCAAACUACAAUAAGGGCACAAUAUUAAUUUAAUUGAUCUCCUUGCACUUUUCCAUCCCUCUUACCAAACACACAUAAGGGGAAACAAAAAUCUUUUCUUUCAUCCCACUUUUCAAUCUUCCCUCCAUUUUCCAUCUCCCAUUUUCAUCCUCUCAACCAAACAAACCCUAAAUCCAUAAAGACGCUCUAAUAUACGUUACCUACUGGAGAAAAAUACAUUUGGCCGACACCGAUUAAUCUUUUAAGGAUCCAUAGCCGAUCCCAAAGUUUUGAGACUAAGGUUUUGUUGUUAUUGUUAUUGUUGUUGCCUAUUGGACAUAUAAAGAGGCUUCCUCAAUUGAUGCCAUUUUUUUUAUUCCAGCUUGAAACAUCUGAGGAGUUUGAACAAAUUUCUACUGCUGAGGAACGCGAAUCUUUUAAGGAAAAGCUUGAUGAGGUUAGGAUUUUUUUUGGACCAAAUCAGAAUGCUUGUAGUCACAUAGCUGUCACUAGAUAUUUUUUAACUUAAGAAACUUGAAUUACCUCAGGUGCAAGAUUGGCUGUAUACAGACGGUGAAGAUGCUACAGCUGCAGAGUUUCAGAAACGCUUAGAUAUGUUAAAAGAUUUUGGUGAUCCCAUGUUCUUCAGGUAUAUCUUGUAAUAAAAUUGUUGUUGAAAUUAAGGCUAUCUUGAGUUGAACUGAAUUGAGUAUGUCUGCUUCUAAUAUUGUGAAUUUAGAGAGGCUAAACAUGAUGUUUGACAUAGUGAACUUUUGGUUGUAGAUUGAAAGAGCUUACUGCACGGCCGGCAGCAGCUGAACAUGCUCGGAGAUAUCUUGUUGAACUGCAACAGGUACUUCAAAUGGUGACAGUGUAGUUAUAACAAAUUUCAAUUGAGAAAAAAUCCACAUAUAUUUUUGCACGUGCUUCAGGAGGAGUUCAGUAUGGUGGUUGAACCAGUUAGUGUUUUUCAAACUGUUGAAGCCAGGGAAAAGAUAUAUUAGUCAAAUAAUUUAGUAUAAAGUAGGAAGAAAAUGUAUGCGUUGAACAUUUAACCCUACAGAAUUGCAUGAGUACUUGGAAGUCAGUAAGGUGGAACUAUACAAGAUAAAAGUUUAAUUUUGGAAACAAACCUAGCCUCUUAAGAAAUGGAAACAGUUUAUCAGCAAGUAUAUAGUAUAUAUGAUGGUUGGCUGAUUGGCACAAAAAAUAACCAUACUUUUAGUUUUAAUUUAGACAUCAUUCUCUUCCUACUAUAGACUAGAAUAUUAGAUUAUUUUGAUGGUGUUCUAAUUUAUUUAUAUUUUCUAAAACAAAAGGCUUAAUUACUUUUGUAUGAUGGACCACAACUCAUACAACGGAGGUCAGUAGUUUAAUUCUCUCCGUGCUCCUCUUGGGGCCAAAACUUACUUACAGGGGAAAAAAAAGUACAACAAAGCUGCUGUUGCUUAAUUCACAGAAUCAAAUUUCAAAUCAUCUUAGAAAGAAAAAAAAAAAAACAAUUGACGCAGGAGAAUGGACUGAGAAUGUUGUUUUGAUUAUUUCGUUUCUCUUAGUUUUCCAUCUCAUCAGAUUCUUUUUUCACUAUAACACUUGCAUUUUUUAUCUUGAGAAAAAGGAGGGGAAGAGGAAUAGUUCUCUAAUCCAGAAAAAUGAAGGGUAAAUCAAUUCAUUACCAGUAUUGUAUACCAGUACUUUAUUGACUAAAUGCAUUUUCUAUCCUCUUUCUCUGACCUUGGUAUAUGCUGAUACAUCUUUAAACUGAACCAACAGGUGCAGCUUAAUAGGUCACUGAUAUUAUAGGAAAAAUAUGUUUCAUUGGAUAGAUAUCAUAUAGUCUUAAAUGAAGAAUGAAUAUGCAAAAUAUUCUUCUGAUGCCUUUCAGUUCUAAGUCUGAUUUCUGUGUUUAAAAGACUUUCUGAACUUUUCAGUUAGUCCACAAAAAAUUUCCCAGGCUACUGUUGUAAUAUGUUUCUCCUAGACUUUCAUGUUUGAAAGUGAGUGUUACCCAUGUCUGCUAAGUCAUGCAAUUUGCAAUGCUGAAAUGGAAGCUUAGACUAUUAAAAGCUAUUUCUCACUAAUGACUUGGAGGGAGUUCUUGUCGUUGAUAGUGAUUAUAUGUGUUUAAAGUAGGAAAAAACCAAAACCAUGCAAAAGUAAAAUUAAAGAACAAGAAUUAAAGGAUUGGUGACCUAGGAGUCAACACCAAGCAAGAGAGGACCCAACUAGGGGUCAGCACCUAGGAUUGGCUAGCACUAGCACCAUUAGGAGAAUUUCAAGUGAAAUUUAUUCAUCAUCAAAACAGAAAUCUCCAUUGGAGUACAUGAUUGUGCUUAUAUAGACUACUAAAACCUAAUUCCAACUAACAUAGAAAAACAUAAUUCGAAUUUACUUGGGAAUUUCUACUUACUGAAUUACAAAAUAACCCUGACUCUAGAAAAUUCAAUAAAAUACUAAUAAUCUAAAUAAUGCCUAUAAAAAUGUAACUGACUUCCAAAAUUAAGUAAAAAUAGAUAUCUCUUUAUGCCUCCCGCAUCACAUACACUAUGUAUUUGGCUUUUGUUACAUUUUCAAUGGUUUAGGGGAUCUAGACAAAGAUAACAGUGAGGUUGUUGGCGCAAAAUGUAACUUAUGAAAAGAGAAAGAUAAUAGUGAGAAACUGAGAGUGAAACCAUGAGAGAUGAGAAAAGCAUAAUAGACAAAGAAGUUUAGGUUCACCUGGAAAGGAGUCUUUUCUUUACUUCUUUUGCCUCUAUUGUUGUUAAUUAUUGUCAAAAAUAAUAGAUGAGGCCUUUUUUGGGGACAAAGGGCAGGAUAAUCUCAACAUAUCAAAUGGCAAAAAUGAAAACCAUGUCUAGUGAAAUAUGAAGUAAAUAAUGUCAUGCCUAUUGAAACUCUUUUUUUCCCCUCAAUUAUGACUUGCAUUUAGGAAUUUAAUUGGAGUUACAUAUACCUGUUUAAAUUUUGCCAUGUUUUGAGGGAAACAGUUACCCGUUGUUCCUGUUCGAUGUACCACUACAAUCUGUACAUUUAGUAGCAUAGUGGUGGAAAUUCUGGCUAAAAUUUCUCGAGUAAUCUUGAAUAUUUACAUUUUUUGAAAAAAAUUUUAAACUUUAAAUUACUAAUUUUGAUUGAGAAUUUGGGCAUUUUUAAAUAUAAGUUACAUGAAAACCACAAAAUGAGUGGGAGAGUGGAGUGAGGGAUAUAUGACACAUGAUAUAUAUUUUUGCUUUUUUGGAAAUAUUUCAAUAAAUACAAAAAUGUUCAGUUUUAUAUGGUAAAUAAUUGUCUUUCCUUUUUUUUUCUCCUAUGCAUCUUUAAUUAGCUUUAUUUAUGAUAUGACAAGUGCAUUAAUGAUUUCCUCUUCUGAGAAUCUGCAGAUUGUACAAGGCUGGGAGACAAAAAAACCUUGGCUUCCAAAAGAUAAAAUAGAUGAGGUGUUUGAACAUUUAUCUUCUUUUAAAAUUUGUCUAAAAUUUGUUGGUAUGAUUUUGAGUUGUCGUCUAUUGAGCCUUGGUAUGGGAAUUGAUUUCUUGUAAAUACAGGUUAUAAGAGAUGCUGACAAAUUCAAGACUUGGUUGGAUGAAAAAGAGGCUGAGCAGAAGAGGUAAGCCGUUCUUAUAACUUUCUGGCUGAAUGCAUAACUGUGUACAAUGGGACUGUGCUAUGGCUGCACCAUUAAUGUAUAAAUGUGUGUAUGUGUCUGUAUAAUGACCAACAAAUACCUCAUUUAUGAGAUCCCAAAAAAAAAAAAAAAAACUCAUUUGGUUCUAUAAAAGAGGAACGGGACCAAUGAGUCAAUGGCUGAUUGUUCCUUUGAAAGAAAAAAUGAUGCAAAAUUCAAUGCCAAUUAUGCUCCACUUGUUUCAGCAAAAAAAAAAAUUUCUCAAAAAUGAUUUCUGCAUUUUUUGGUGUUUGGUGUGGUGAAGACCAUGGUCAAUGGCAAAUAACCCAAAACUGGCAGAAAAUGUUUUCUGCCAUUUGUUAGUGCCCUCAUUUGUCAUCCCCCUCCAUUCCUUUGUGCCACCACCACCACCACCUCCAGAAUUACCACCCACCACUGUGCCUAUAUAAAUAUUAACAAUUCAUGCAAACCAAAUACCAAAAAUAUUUUAAAGAUUAUUUUCAAGGUUGCAACCAAACACAGGAAAAAUGAGUCAUUUACUCAUUUUCCUUGAAAAAUGUUUUCCCCCCAAGAAAAUAUCCAAAACUAUUAGAACGUUACUUCCUUGGUCACUUCAUUGGUAGUGAUAGUCGAGUUUAAUUUUCAGUCUAAUCCAGUUUGGGUUAACUUAUAAGCUUUGUUUAAAUUUUGGAGGCUGCUGACAGUUAACCAUGAUAACAUCAAAUUUUGGUUGAAGACCACCUAUUGCAACUUCCAUAUGAUAACCAUUAUAUAUUUACUUCUUUUCAUUUUCUUUAUUUCCUUAAGGGUGUGUUUGUUUGGAGGUGAAACAGGGUGGAUGAAAAACUUUGAAAAGAAAAUAGGAGUGAAAACUUUUUUGGAGUGUGUUUGGUUGGGUAGGAAAUGAAAAUAAAUGGUGGGGCCCAGGUGUUUUUUCCCCGGCCCACUAAAAUGUUUUCUCCCCAAAAUGGAGAAAAAACUAAGUGGGGAUAAAUUUUUUCUUAAUUGACAAAAAUACCCAUGUGCAUGUGCACACAGGCUUCUUCAAGUUGCCUUUUUUUUUUUUUCUUUCACCUGUGCAGACGUUGCCUUUUUUCUGUCUUGUUUUUUUUCCUGGGCAAGGUUGCCUCUUCUUUUUUUUUUUUUUUUUUUUUUUUCUAUUCUUUUGAUUUUCUAGGCUUGGGCAUGCCUUUUUUUUUUUUUUUUUCCCUUCUUCUGGGUAGUAACGUUGCCUCUCUUUUUUCUUUUCUUUUUUUGUUUUAUUUUUUUUGAUUUUCUGGGGCUUGGGUGUGAUAGUUGUUUAUUUUUUUUGGGACAUGAUUUUUAUUUUUUUAAUAUAUUUGGGUGAUUGCUCUUUUUUUGUGGUUAUUUGUCACUUUUUUUUUUUUUAAUUGGGCAUCAUUUUUUAACAACAGUAUAUGAGUAAUUAUUUUUUAAUUUGUCACUUUUCCAUAUUUUCACUUUUCCACUUCCAACCAAACAAAAGGGAGAGAAUAAAAUUUUUUCUAUCCUCCCACUUUUUCAUCCUCCCACUAUUUUCUAUUCUACCAAAUUGACCCUAAAAUUUUCUUUUUGUUUGUGGAGAGGGGGGAGGGAGCUUGGAUAGACAUAAGAUGGUAAUCAUCUUAUAAGGACACAGGAUUUCAAAUCGAAGUAAAGGACUAGUUUUUUUUUUUUUUUUUUUUUAAAUUAAUAAUUUGAACAAAUUAAUGCCUUUAGAUCUAAAUGGGACAAGCAAGACCCAUAUGUUCUACAUCAUAUAUAUGUUGACACUGUUUGGCAAGGAUUGAUCAUUAUGAGUACCUAAGGGGUAAUAUGAGAGUUAGCAUAACUGUUAACUUGUCAACCACUGCACCAACUAAAUAGAGUUGUUUUUAGGGGGGAAGGGUUUUGAGCUGCGGGGUUAGCAGCAUGUUAUAAUUAUCUCUCAAAAAAAAAUAUAUAUAUAUAUAUAUAUAUAUAUAUGAUUACUUGUAUAUAAUACCAUUUUAAGCCCCAUAGCAUUAGGAAGUGUUUGCCUCUAUGAAUUAGUUGUGUAUGGUUUUAGAUAAGUGGCUUUGUAAAUGGAGCUUCUCUGAAUGAUGCUGGAAAUUGUGUUUGAGAUGUUUGUUUGACUAGAAAAUGAGUAUCAAGGUUUACUGCUUGAAAACACACUCUUUUGCGUAAAAAAAGGCAUUUUUGAUGUAUACCAUAGCAAGAAUUUGCUAGUAUAUUCUGAAUGCAACUUCUGAACCUUUUUAGUUUCUGUGCUCCUUUAUACGGUAUUCCUGCUGACAGUUCAAGACAGUUAUGUUGGCUUGAGUGCACAUCAGUGGCUUAAAUAAUUUCUGGGGUUUUUCCAAAUACUUUCAACGAAAUGGCAGAGAAAAGUUUACGAAAAAUAUAAUGGACCUUGUAUUAAUAUUAUUUGUCUCUAGAUAAUUGUCAUGUCAAAACCAAAAUACAACCUGGACUGGACUUAUAAUAUGUUAUGUUUUGGUCAAGUGAUCCGUUGUACCAAAGUUAUUGCUGAGUCCGUUAUAUUAUCCAAUUGAACUAUCUGAUUCCUUUUUUAUUUACAGUGCAGAAUCAUUUGCAACCAUUUAGAAAAUUUGUAGUCUUAAGAUGAGAAUUUAAUGGUUAAAUCUUUAUGUCAUCAAGUUAUCUUUUUGUAAAAAUCUUGCACUAAGUAACAUGAAUAGAUAAGAAAAAGAAAAAAUGUGAACAAUGAUUGGAUUGAUGAUCAAAUAUAAUCUUGGGUCUUGAGCCAGGAUUGAUCAAAUUCCAUUGAGUUUGAGUCAUAGUGAUAAUUUAUCAAAGAAUGACUGAUUAUCAAAUGAUUGAACAACUGAGAGUAAUUUACUUACAAUAUUUAGUUGACAUUCAUAAAAAGUAUCUAAUGACUUAAAGAGUUCAACGCAUCAUGUUUAGCAUAUAGACAAAUAUUUCUUGCUCAUUACCAGUCAAUGACUUAUUCACACACCUCAUGUGGUUGAUAAUCUUUAUUUCCCAUCUCAUGGAAAAAUAUAAAGCAUUAUUGGCUCUAAUGGAUAAUAUCGUGGUUGAAAAGGAAAAUAAUUGAUUUUCAAGAAUGGGCCAAGCCCUCCUUUCAUAAAUUCAAUUAUUGAUUUGUUUGCAAAUACGAUUCUCCCUAAUUAUUGAUGUCCUGCCUCUGCUUUAUGUUCUUCACAUUGCCCAACAGUUUUUUCUGUUUUCUUCUUUCUUUCUGACCUUUCUUUCUUUUCUUUUUUUCCUAAAGGAUUUCUGGAUUCAGUGCUCCGGUAUUCACAUCAGAAGAAGUAUAUAUGAAGGUUUUCACUCUGCAAGAUAAGGUAUUGUUCCCAUACCCUAUUUUAUGAAAAGUAAAUACGUAUAUAGCCUACGACUUAUAUCUAUAUGUUUUUAAUACUCUUCAAUUGACAUUUGAUUGAUAUUUGUGUAGGUUUCAAGCAUUAAUAGAAUUCCCAAGCCAAAGCCUAAAAUUGAGAAGCCUACAAAGAAUGAGACUGAGAGCAGUGGGGACAAUGUGACUAAUCCCAACUCGACUUCUGAGGAGAACCUCAACCAAAGUGACGAAUCAUCCAAGGAUUCAGAUGGCUCAUCAAAUGAAAAAGUUGACCCAGAGUCCAAGGCUCACUCAUCAAAUGAAAAAGUUGACUCAGAGUCCAAGGCUCACGAUGAAUUGUGAGCAAUGGAAGUUACAUUUAGGCUGUAAUGUUACGUUUCCUUCCUAGUUAGAAAUAUUAAUUGGUAAUGGAAGAAAAAAUAGGAUAGACGGAGUUGCUGCAAAUUUUUGUACCGUACAAGAAUAUAGAGUUGAGCCCAUUUUUAGGGAGGGUGGUUAUCUUAACAACUUUGAGAUCGAUAGUCUUCGCGUCUUAUGCUGUAUAAGGAGUAGUUGGAAAAAACUUUGGUAA